rnacentral:rRNA from 1 species
ACGAACGCUGGCGGCGUGCUUAACACCUGCAAGUCGAACGAUGAAGCGGGUGCUUGCACUCGUGGAUUAGUGGCGAACGGGCGAGUAACACGUGAGUAACCUGUCCUUUUCUUUGGGAUAACGGCUGGAAACGGCUGCUAAUACUGGAUAUUCAGGCUGCAUCGCAUGGUGUGGUUUGGAAAGGUUUUUUCUGGGAUUGGGUGGGCUCGCGGCCUAUCAGCUUGUUGGUGGGGUGAUGGCUUACCAAGGCUUUGACGGGUAGCCGGCCUGAGAGGGUGGUCGGUCGCACUGGGACUGAGAUACGGCCCAGACUCCUACGGGAGGCAGCAGUGGGGAAUAUUGCACAAUGGACGAAAGUUUGAUGCAGCGACGCCGCGUGGAGGGUGUAGGCCUUCGGGUUGUGAACUCCUUUUUCUCGCGAAAAAGGCACAGUUUUGGCUGUGUUGAUGGUAGUGGGGGAAGAAGCGCCGGCUAACUACGUG